AAGGAUGCCUUUAUUAAAGAGUCAACAACGUGCGCUGGCCGUCCAGUUCUAGAAAAAUAACACAGUCAUACAUUCAUCCAUGUGGAAAUCCUUAAAACAAAGAAAAACAAGGACAGCUUUUAUCCUUAAAGCUAAAAAUCCCUUUUUGAAUGUGACAGGGGAACCUGAAUGAUGCCUUGUGUGUGUGUGUGUGUGUGUGUGUGUGUGUGUGUGUGUGUGUGUGUGUGCGUGUGUGUGUGUGU